rnacentral:rRNA from 1 species
UACAGAGGGUGCAAGCGUUAAUCGGAAUUACUGGGCGUAAAGCGCGCGUAGGUGGUUUGUUAAGUUGGAUGUGAAAUCCCCGGGCUCAACCUGGGAACUGCAUCCAAAACUGGCAAGCUAGAGUAUGGUAGAGGGUGGUGGAAUUUCCUGUGUAGCGGUGAAAAUGCGUAGAUAUAGGAAGGAACACCAGUGGCGAAGGCGACCACCUGGACUGAUACUGACACUGAGGUGCGAAAAAGCGUGGGGGAGCAAACAGG